AGGAUGAACGCUGGCGGCGUGCCUAAUACAUGCAAGUCGAGCGAACAGACGAGGAGCUUGCUCCUCUGACGUUAGCGGCGGACGGGUGAGUAACACGUGGAUAACCUACCUAUAAGACUGGGAUAACUUCGGGAAACCGGAGCUAAUACCGGAUAAUAUAUUGAACCGCAUGGUUCAAUAGUGAAAGACGGUUUUGCUGUCACUUAUAGAUGGAUCCGCGCCGCAUUAGCUAGUUGGUAAGGUAACGGCUUACCAAGGCAACGAUGCGUAGCCGACCUGAGAGGGUGAUCGGCCACA
rnacentral:rRNA from 1 species